GACGAACGCUGGCGGCGUGCCUAAUACAUGCAAGUCGAACGCAGUGGGGACGGGUGAGUAACACGUGGGUAACCUCCCCAUCAGCGGGGAUAACCCUUGGGAACAGGUUCUAAACCGGUACGGAUGGACGGACCUGCGGUGAAUUAGCUAGUUGGGGAGGUAACGGCAAACCAAGGCCACGAUGCAUAGCCGACCUGGGAGGGGGAUCGGCCACUCUUGGACGGAGACACGGCCCAGACUCCUACGGUAGGCAGCAGUAGGGAAUCUUCGGCAAUGGACGAAAGUCUGACCGAGCAACGCCGCGUGAGUGAAGAAGGUUUUCGGAUCGUAAAACUCUGUUGUUAGAGAAGCGGUAUCUAACCAGAAAGCCACGGCUAACUACGUGCCAGCAGCCGCGGUAAUAC
rnacentral:rRNA from 1 species